GUAAGAAAUUAUGGUCGAACAGACCAAUUUUUUUAACUUCUGCAUUAAAAAUAAUCUUAAUCCAACAUCGAGGUCGCAAUCUAUUUUGUCGAUAUGAUCUCUCAAAAAUAAUAACGCUGUUAUCCCUUAAGUAACUUAAUCUUUUAAUCACAAUUUAUGGAUCAAUUCAAUUAUUUUUGAAAAAAAGUUAAUUAAAUUUUCCUAUCACCCCAAUAAAAUAUAAUAUAAAGCUUUAAAGGAUCUUCUCGUCCUUUAAUAUUAUUUAUGCUUUUUAACAUAAAAAUUNAAUUCUAUAACAAUUAAAAUUAGACAGUUUAUAUUUCAUUCAAUCAUUCAUUCCAGCUUNCAAUUAAAAAACUAUUUAUUAUGCUACCUUUGCACAGUCAAAAUACUGCUCCCUUUUUCAAUGGGCAGAUUAGACUUUAAAUA
rnacentral:rRNA from 1 species